AUCCCAUGAUGAGGACAGGCGGCUAUGUACUCCUGCAGUCGUUCCUAUGCUUCUGGAAUAGAUUCGUCCCUUGUUUGCUGGAAACUUGAAGUCCUUCCACGAAGGGC
rfam:Oryza sativa Japonica Group DNA, chromosome 4, cultivar: Nipponbare, complete sequence.